rnacentral:rRNA from 1 species
GACGAAGCUGUCCUAACGUUGUUCGGAAUCACUGGGCUUAAAGGGCGCGUAGGCGGUCGAUCAAGUCAGGGGUGAAAGUCCUGCAGCUUAACUGUAGAAGUGCCUCUGAUACUGAUCGUCUUGAGGGAGAUAGGGGUGUGCGGAACUUACCAGUGGAGCGGUGAAAUGCGUUGAUAUUGGAAGGAACGCCGGAGGCGAAAGCGGCGCACUGGAUCUCUUCUGACGCUGGAGG